GUCGUCUGAGUCCACCCUCUUCCUCUUGGUGGCCAGAGACAGGAGCUCCUGGGGGGCCACAGGGUGAGAGAGACAAAGCAGAGAGGAUUACCUAUCAUGGCCGUGUCAAGGGCUACACAUUUCACCCCAGCAGUAAGGUUUCUGGGCUCCUGGCUACAGAGACUCUUCAUCCCGGGGGCCCUCAGCUGUCUGUGGGAUGUAGGACCGUAUCUGGGGGGGAGUACAGACAUCCAGGCCAGACACAGGACCACACCCCUAUCUGGAAGAAGUUUGACUUCCAAAAAAAUAGUGCAGGGGAUGAGGAAGCAUUUUACCCUGAUGAAGAAUGAGUUUCUGGGCUGCUGGACAGGGCCGGAGUGGAAACAACUGGUUGAACACAUUCUGGAGCAGACCAGAGUGAUCUAGGAGUUCAGAGGGCCAGAGAGCCAUCUGAAGCUGGGCAAGAACAAUGCUACAUAUCUGGUGUGUGGAACUCUGCUCUGCUCCCCCCAGGGAUGGAGUGACACGUUAUAGUGGAUACUGCGCUCCAAGCUACCCAUGGGUCCGUUUGACAGUAAGCAUCAUGAUUGGUCCAGUUUCAACACCCUGCACAUCUGUGGUGCCGGGUGUCCAUGGAUGAUCAACGUCGGUGCCGGGACUUACUUCUCCCACCAGAAGGAUGACAUGUACAGUUACUUCCUGUACAAAUGGGGAGGGCCUUACUGGCAAGAUACAGUAAAGCCAGGUCUCCUGAGUUUCUUUUCAUUUGAGUACUGAACUGUCUUCAGUGGUUUGAGUCCCACACAGUACAUAUUAAGCUCCCUCACGACGCCAGGACAGCGGAGUCACUCACCACCUUCCGGAGACAUUUGAAACCCCACCUC